rnacentral:rRNA from 1 species
CCCUAAGUAGUGGCGAGCGAACAGGGAAUAGCCUAACCGUAACGAUUUCGGUCGUUGCGGGGUUGUCGGGCCACGACGUGAAUAUAUUAUCUUAAGCAGAAGAAUUCUGGAAAGUUUUACCAUAGUGAGUGAUAGUCUCGUAUGCGUACAGUUAAUAUAAUCUAGUGGGACCCUGAGUAGUGCGGGACCAGAGAAAUCUUGCAUGAAUCUGCCGGUACCAUCCGGUAAGGCUAAAUACUCCCGAGAGACCGAUAGCGAACUAGUACCGUGAGGGAAAGGUGAAAAGUACCCCGAACAGGGGAGUGAAAUAGUACCUGAAAACCAUGUGCUUACAACCGGUCGGAGCCAAUUUAUUUGGUGACGGCGUGCCUUUUGCAUAAUGAGCCUACGAGUUACUCGUCAUUGGCAAGGUUAACCUAUAAUGGGGAGCCGUAGCGAAAGCAAGUCUGAAUAGGGCGAAUAGUCAGUGGCGGUAGACGCGA